rnacentral:rRNA from 1 species
AUUGAACGCUGGCGGCAUGCCUUACACAUGCAAGUCGAACGGUAACGCGGGGCAACCUGGCGACGAGUGGCGAACGGGUGAGUAAUGUAUCGGAACGUGCCCAGUUGUGGGGGAUAACUGCUCGAAAGAGCAGCUAAUACCGCAUACGACCUGAGGGUGAAAGCGGGGGAUCGCAAGACCUCGCGCAAUUGGAGCGGCCGAUAUCAGAUUAGGUAGUUGGUGGGGUAAAGGCUCACCAAGCCAACGAUCUGUAGCUGGUCUGAGAGGACGACCAGCCACACUGGGACGGAGACACGGCCCAGACUCCUACGGGAGGCAGCAGUGGGGAGUUUUGGACAAUGGGCGCAAGCCUGAUCCAGCAAUGCCGCGUGCAGGAUGAAGGCCUUCGGGUUGUAAACUGCUUUUGUACGGAGCGAAACGGCUUCCACUAAUACUGGGGGCUAAUGACGGUACCGUAAGAAUAAGCACCGGCUAACUACGUGCCAGCCGCCGCCGUAAUAC